rnacentral:misc_RNA from 1 species
GAAAUAAACCUGAUGGGUUGCUGCUGGCUCUCUAGGGAGCAUGUGCACACCUUGUCAUCUUUAUAUCUCCACCUGUGCACCUUUUGUAGACCCUCUCCAGGUCUAUGUUGCUUCAUUUUACCCCAAUGUAUGUUAAAAGAAUGUUGUGCUUAUAAAAUCAAUACAACUUUCAGCAACGGAUCUCUUGGCUCU